GAUGAACGCCGGCGGCGUGCCUAAUACAUGCAAGUCGAGCGAACAGACGAGGAGCUUGCUCCUCUGACGUUAGCGGCGGACGGUUGAGUAACACGUGGAUAACCUACCUAUAAGACUGGGAUAACUUCGGGAAACCGGAGCUAAUACCGGAUAAUAUAUUGAACCGCAUGGUUCAAUAGUGAAAGACGGUUUUGCUGUCACUUAUAGAUGGAUCCGCGCCGCAUUAGCUAGUUGGUAAGGUAACGGCUUACCAAGGCAACGAUGCGUAGCCGACCUGAGAGGGUGAUCGGCCACACUGGAACUGAGACACGGUCCAGACUCCUACGGGAGGCAGCAGUAGGGAAUCUUCCGCAAUGGGCGAAAGCCUGACGGAGCAACGCCGCGUGAGUGAUGAAGGUCUUCGGAUCGUAAAACUCUGUUAUUAGGGAAGAACAAAUGUGUAAGUAACUAUGCACGUCUUGACGGUACCUAAUCAGAAAGCCACGGCUAACUACGUG
rnacentral:rRNA from 1 species